AUUGAACGCUAGCGGCAGGCUUAAUACAUGCAAGUCGUGGGGCAGCAUGGUGUAGCAAUACACUGAUGGCGACCGGGAAACGGGUGCGGAACACGUACACAACUUUCCUUCAAGUGGGGAAUAGCCCAGAGAAAUUUGGAUUAAUACCCCGUAACAUAUAGGGAUGGCAUCUUCUUUAUAUUAUAGCUUCGGCGCUUGAUGAUGGGUGUGCGGCUGAUUAGAUAGUUGGCGGGGUAACGGCCCACCAAGUCUACGAUCAGUAGCUGAUGUGAGAGCAUGAUCAGCCAAACGGGCACUGAGACACGGGCCCGACUCCUACGGGAGGCAGCAGUAAGGAAUAUUGGUCAAUGGGCGAAAGCCUGAACCAGCCAUGCCGCGUGAAGGAUUAAGGUCCUCUGGAUUGUAAACUUCUUUUAUCUGGGACGAAAAAAGGCGAUUCUUCGUCACUUGACGGUACCAGAUGAAUAAGCACCGGCUAACUCCGUGCCAGCCGCCGCAGUAAGAC
rnacentral:rRNA from 1 species